rnacentral:rRNA from 1 species
CCUGGGAACUGCGUUNUGAACUGGGUAGCUAGAGUAUGUCUGAGGGGGGUAGAAUUCCACGUGUAGCAGUGAAAUGCGUAGAGAUGUGGAGGAAUNCCGAUGGCGAAGGCAGCCCCNUGGGAUAAUACUGACGUUCAUGCUCGAAAGCGUGGGUAGCAAACAGGAUUAGAUACCCUGGUAGUCCACGCCCUAAACGAUGUCGAUUAGCUGUUGGGCAGCUUGACUGCUUAGUAGCGUAGCUAACGCGUGAAAUCGACCGCCUGGGGAGUACGGUCGCAAGAUUAAAACUCAAAGGAAUUGACGGGGACCCGCACAAGCGGUGGAUGAUGUGGAUUAAUUCGAUGCAACGCGAAGAACCUUACCUGGUCUUGACAUGUACGGAACCUUCCAGAGACGGAAGGGUGCCUUCGGGAGCCGUAACACAGGUGCUGCAUGGCUGUCGUCAGCUCGUGUCGUGAGAUGUUGGGUUAAGUCCCGCAACGAGCGCAACCCUUGUCAUUAGUUGCCAUCAUUCAGUUGGGCACUCUAAUGAGACUGCCGGUGACAAACCGGAGGAAGGUGGGGAUGACGUCAAGUCCUCAUGGCCCUUAUGACCAGGGCUUCACACGUCAUACAAUGGUCGGUACAAAGGGUAGCCAAGCCGCGAGGCGGAGCCAAUCUCAUAAAACCGAUNGUAGUCCGGA